CCAAAGAGUUCAAUCUUGGUUUCAUCACACCAGAGCAUCUUGUUUCUCAAUGUCUGAGAGUCUUUAGGUGCCUUUUGGCAAACUCCAAGCAGGCUGUUAUGUGCCUUUACUGAGUAGUGGCUUCUGUAUGCCACUCAAUCAUAAAGGCCUGAUUGGUGGAGUGCUGCAGAGAUGGUUGUCCUUCUGGAAGAUUCUCCCAUCUCCACAGAGGAACUAGAGCUCUGUUAGAGUGACCAUCAGGUUCUUGGUCACCUCACUGACCAAGGCCCUUCUCCUCCGAUAGCUCAGUUUGCUCUAGGAAGAGUCUUGGUGGUUCCAAACUGAAUUUAGCACAGGUGGACUCCAAUCAAGUUGUAGAAACUUCUCAAGUUCAAUCAAAGUUCAAAGAUCGAUGGAAACUAAGAUGCACCUGAGCUCAAAAAAAGCAAAAGGUCUGAAUAAGGUAUUUCUGUUAAACUUUUUAAAAUAAAUUUGCAAACAUUUCUAAAAAUCUGUUUUUCGCUUUGUCAUUAUGGGGUAUUGUGUGUAGACUGCUGAGGAAAACAAUGACUUUAAUCAAUUUAAGAAUAAGGCUGUAACGUAUCAAAAUGUGGAAAAAGUCAAGGGGUCUGAAUACUUUCCGAAGGCACUGUAUAGAAUGUCUCUGACUGUCAUAUAGUUGCAAAUUUUUUCACUAUUUCUGUUGUAUGAUAAAUGUGACUUCAGUUUUCCAGUCAAUUUAGCUGUGCAUCUGUACAACAUCUAUUAAUUAAAAACAUGUUGUAUUAAAGGAAUAUUCCAUACAUACAGUAUCUUGGGAUCUUGCACCAUUUUUUGGCAGGUGUUUUUGUAGGGUUUUGGUAAAUGUUUAGGAGGAUCUUGAGUAAGUAAAAUAAGGUUUUGGUAGGUUUUUUUGUAGGGUUUUGCUCUGUUUUUGGUAGGUGUUUACUAGGUUUUGGUCGUUUCUACUAGUGUUUUGGUAGGUGUUUAGUAGGGUUUAUAGUAGGUGUUUAGUAGGGUUUAUAGUAGAUGUUUAGUAGGGUUUAUAGUAGGUGUUUAGUAGGGUUUAUAGUAGGUGUUUAGUAGGGUUUAUAGUAGGUAUUUAGUAGGGUAUAUAAUAUGUGUUUAGUAGGGUUUAUAGUAGGUGUUUAGUAGGGUUUAUAGUUGAUGUUUAGUAGGGUUUAUAGUAGGUGUUUAGUAGGGUUUAUAGUAGGUGUUUAGUAGGGUAUAUAAUAUGUGUUUAGUAGGGUUUUGGUAGGUGUUUAGUCGUGUUUUGGUAGGUGUUUAGUAGGGUUUAUAGUAGGUGUUUAGUAGGGUUUAUAGCAGGUGUUUAGUAGUGUUUAUAGUAGGUGUUUAGUAGGGUUUUGGUAGGUAUUUAGUAGGGUAUAUAAUAGGUGUUUAGUAGAGUUUAUAAUAGAUGUUUAGUACGGUUUGUUGUAGAUCUUUAGUAUGGUUUUGGUAGGUAUUUAGGAGGGUUUAUAGUAGGUGUUUAGUAAGGUUUAUGGUAUGUGUUAAGUAGUGUUUAUAGUAGUUUGUUAAGUAGGGUUUAUAGUAGGUGUUUAGUAGGGUUUAUAGUAGGUGUUUAGUAGGGUUUAUAGUAGGUGUUUAGUAGGGUUUAUAGUAGGUGUUUAGUAGGGUUUAUAGCAGGUGUUUAGUAGUGUUUAUAGUAGGUGUUUAGUAGGGUUUUGGUAGGUAUUUAGUAGGGUAUAUAAUAGGUGUUUAGUAGAGUUUAUAAUAGAUGUUUAGUACGGUUUGUUGUAGAUCUUUAGUAUGGUUUUGGUAGGUAUUUAGGAGGGUUUAUAGUAGGUGUUUAGUAAGGUUUAUGGUAUGUGUUAAGUAGUGUUUAUAGUAGUUUGUUAAGUAGGGUUUAUAGUAGGUGUUUAGUAGGGUUUAUAGUAGGUGUUUAGUAGGGUUUAUAGUAGGUGUUUAGUAGGGUUUAUAGUAGGUGUUUAGUAGGGUUUAUAGUAGUUUGUUAAGUAGGGUUUAUAGUAGGUGUUGAGUAGGGUUUAUAGUAGUUUGUUAAGUAGGGUUUAUAGUAGGUGUUGAGUAGGGUUUGUAGUAGGUGUUGAGUAGGGUUUGUAGUUGGUGUUGAGUAGGGUUUAUAGUAGGUUUAUGGUAGGGGAUUGGUAGGUGUUUAGUAGGGUUUAUAGUAGGUGUUUAGUAGGGUUUAUAGUAGGUGUUGAGUAGGGUUUGUAGUAGGUGUUGAGUAGGGUUUGUAGUUGGUGUUUAGUAGGGUUUAUAGUAGUUUGUUAAGUAGGGUUUGUAGUAAGUGUUGAGUUGGGUUUAUAGUAGAUAUUUGGUAGGGAUAAUAGUUGGUGUUUAGUAGGGAUAGUAGUAGGUGUUUAGUAGGGUUUAUAGUAGUGUGUUAAGUAGGGUUUGUAGUAAGUGUUGAGUUGGGUUUAUAGUAGAUAUUUGGUAGGGAUAAUAGUAGGUGUUUAGUAGGGUUUGUAGUUGGUGUUUAGUAGGGUUUAUAGUAGGUGUUUAGUAGGGUUUGUAGUUGGUGUUUAGUAGGGUUUAUAGUAGGUGUUUAGUAGGGUUUAUAGUUGGUGUUUAGUAGGGUUUAUAGUAGGUGUUUGGUAGGGUUUGUAGUUGGUGUUUAGUAGGGUUUAUAGUAGGUUUAUGGUAGGGGAUUGGUAGGUGUUUAGUAGGGUUUGUAGUAGAUUUGUUGUAGGGUUUAUAGUAGGUGUAUAGUAGGGUUUAUUAUAGGUGUUUAGUAGGUAUUUAGGAGGGUUUAUAGUAGGUGUUUAUAUUCCAUACAUACAGUAUCUUGGUAUCUUGCACCAUUUUUUGGCAGGUGUUUAUGUAGUGUUUUGGUAAAUGUUUAGGAGGAUCUUGAGUAAGUAAAAUAAGGUUUUGGUAGGUUUUUUUGUAGGGUUUUGCUCUGUUUUUGGUAGGUGUUUACUAGGUUUUGGUCGUUUCUACUAGUGUUUUGGUAGGUGUUUAGUAGGGUUUAUAGUAGGUGUUUAGUAGGGUUUAUAGUAGAUGUUUAGUAGGGUUUGUAGUAAGUGUUGAGUUGGGUUUAUAGUAGAUAUUUGGUAGGGAUAAUAGUAGGUGUUUUGUAAGGUUUAUAGUAGAUGUUUAGUAGGGUUUAUAGUUGGUGUUUAGUAGGGUUUAUAGUUGGUGUUUAGUAGGGUUUAUAGUAGGUGUUUAGUAGGGUUUAUAGUUGGUGUUUAGUAGGGUUUAUAGUAGGUGUUUAGUAGGGUUUAUAGUUGGUGUUUAGUAGGGUAUAUAGUAUGUGUUUAGUAGGGUUUAUAGUUGGUGUUUAGUAGGGUAUAUAAUAUGUGUUUAGUAGGGUUUAUAGUAGGUGUUUAGUAGGGUUUAUAGUUGGUGUUUAGUAGGGUUUAUAGUUGGUGUUUAGUAGGGUUUAUAGUAGGUAUUUAGUAGGGUUUAUAGUUGGUGUUUAGUAGGGUUUAUAGUAGGUGUUUAGUAGGGUUUAUAGUUGGUGUUUAGUAGGGUUUAUAGUAGGUGUUUAGUAGGGUUUAUAGUUGGUGUUUAGUAGGGUUUAUAGUAGGUGUUUAGUCGGGAUUAAAGUUUAGUAAGUUUUAUAGUAGGGGAUUUGUAGGGUUUUGAAAGGUGUUUAGUCAGGUUUAUAGUAGGUGUUUCGUAGUACGUAGUGUCGGUGUUUAGUAGUUUUGUUAGUAGCUGUUUAGUAGAGAUUAUAGUAGGUCUUUAGUAGGGGUUAUAGAUGUUGUUUAGUAAGGAUUAUAGUAGGUGUUUACUAGGGAUUAGAGUUCGUGUUUAGUAAGGAUUAUGCUUGUUGUUUAGUAAGGAUUAUAGUAGGUGUUUACUAGGGAUUAGAGUUAGUGUUUAGUAGGGAUUAUGCUUGUUGUUUUGUUGGGUUUAUAGAAGGUGUUUAGUAGGGUUUAUAUUAGGUGUUACAUAGGGAUUAUAGUUGGUUUUUAGUAGUGUGUAUAGUAGUUGUUUAGUUGAGUUUUUGUAGGUGUUUAGUAGGGUUCAUAUUUGGUGUUUAGUAGGGUUUAUAGUAGAUGUUUAGUAGGGUUUAUAGUAGGUGUUUAGUUGGGUUUAUAGUAGGUGUUUAGUAGGGCUUAUAGUAGGUGUUUAGUAGGGUUUAUAGUAGAUGUUUAGUUGGGUUUAUUGUAGGUGUUUAGUCGGGUUUAUAGUACAUUUUUAGUAGGGUUUAUAGUAGGUGUUCAGUAAGGUUUUGGUAGGGCUUUAAUAUGGAUUAUGGUAGGUGUUUAGUAAGGUAUAUAGUAGGUGUUUUGUUGGGUUUAUGUAGUUGUUGUAUAGUAGGGUUGAUAGUAGCUGUUUAGUAGAGAUUAAUAUAGGUAUUUAGUAGCAUUUAUAGUGUGUGUUUAGUAGGGAUUAUAGUAUGUGUUUAGUCGGGGUUAUAGUUGGUGUUUAGUAGGGAAUAUGCUAGGUUUUUUGCUUGGUUUAUAGUAGGUGUUUAGUUGGGUUUAUAGUAGGUGUUUAGUAAGGUUUAUAGUAGGUGUUUAGGAGGGUUUAUUAUAGGUGUUUUGUAAGGUUUUAUUGUAGGUCUUAAAAACCUCUCUAGUGUACGUUUUGACGGUAGCGUCCCACCUGGCCAACAUCCAGUGAAAUUGCAGAGCGCGAAAUUCAAACUACAGAAUUGUAAAUAUUUAACAUUCUUGAAAAUCCACAUGCAAUAUGUCAAAUUAAAGCUUGACUUCUUGUUAAUCCAGCCACGGUGUCAGAUUUCAAAAAGGCUGAGGACAGCACCCCAUGAAACAAACACAGACAAUCAUAUUUCAUCCCGCCAGGCGUGACACAAAACUCAGAAAUAACGAUAUAAUUCAUGCCUUACCUUUGAAGAUCUUCUUUUGUUGGCACUCCAAUAUGUCCCAUAAACAUCACAAAUGGUCCUUUUGUUUGAUUAAUUCCGUCGUUAUAUCCAAAAUGUAAAUGUAUUAUUUGCCGCGUUUGAUCCAGAAAAACGCAACAUGACUACAAAAUACCUAAUAAUCUUUGUCCAAACAUUUCAAACAACUUUUCUAAUACAACUUUAGGCAUUUCUUAACUUAAAUAAUCGAAUCAAAUUUAAGACGAGAUAAACUGUGUUCAACACCGGAGGAAAACAAAGUGUAGCGAGCUUUCAGGUCACGUGCCUCUAUCAAACAGUACACUUCACUCUACCCUCGUUCUGAGCAGAGAUUGAGAGUAAGAGAGAGUGAGAGUAAGAGAGAAUGAGAGUAAGAGAGAAUGAGAGUAAGAGAGAGUGAGAGUGAGAGAGUGAGAGAGUAAGAGAGAGUGAGAGAGUAAGAGAGAGUAAGAGAGAGUAAGAGAGAGUAAGAGAGAGAGAGAGAGUAAGAGAGAAUGAGAGUAAGAGAGAGUGAGAGUGAGAGAGUAAGAGAGUGAGAGUGAGAGAGUGAGAGAGAGAGAAAGUAAGAGAGAGAGAGUAAGAGAGAGUAAGAGAGAGAGAGAGUAAGAGAGAAUGAGAGUAAGAGAGAGAGAGAGUAGAGAGAGAGUAAGAGAGAGAGAGAGAGAGAGAGAGAGUAAGAGAGAAUGAGAGUAAGAGAGAGUGAGAGUGAGAGAGAGAGAGUAAGAGAGUUAGUUUGGAGCGAGCAGUCGCACCACGCUUCGCUCCACAGGUAAUAUUACACUUCACUACAUUACAACGGCUUGAUUUGUUUGAUCUGAGCAAUUCUUCUUAGCUAGCUACAUAGCCGUCUUUGUAUCAAAGAUACUUGUGUAGUUUAGAGUAAUUGAGUAAUUAUCGAGGCUAGCUAUCUUCGUCCU
rnacentral:lncRNA from 1 species